AUGCACGCUGGCGGCGUGCCUAAUACAUGCAAGUCGCGCGAACAGACGAGGAGCUUGCUCCUUUGACGUUAGCGGCGGACGGGUGAGUAACACGUGGGUAACCUACCUAUAAGACUGGGAUAACUUCGGGAAACCGGAGCUAAUACCGGAUAAUAUUUCGAACCGCAUGGUUCGAUAGUGAAAGAUGGCUUUGCUAUCACUUAUAGAUGGACCUGCGCCGUAUUAGCUAGUUGGUAAGGUAACGGCUUACCAAGGCAACGAUACGUAGCCGACCUGAGAGGGUGAUCGGCCACACUGGAACUGAGACACGGUCCAGACUCCUACGGGAGGCAGCAGUAGGGAAUCUUCCGCAAUGGGCGAAAGCCUGACGGAGCAACGCCGCGUGAGUGAUGAAGGUCUUCGGAUCGUAAAACUCUGUUAUUAGGGAAGAACAAACGUGUAAGUAACUGUGCACGUCUUGACGGUACCUAAUCAGAAAGCCACGGCUAACUACGUG
rnacentral:rRNA from 1 species